rnacentral:rRNA from 1 species
UACGUAGGGGGCAAGCGUUGUCCGGAUUUAUUGGGCGUAAGGAGCGUGUAGGCGGCUUGGUAGGUCUCGCGUCAAAACCUGAGGCUCAACCUCAGUUCGCGUGGGAAACCACCUAGCUAGAGUCCGGAAGAGGAGAACGGAAUUCCCAGUGUAGCGGUGAAAUGCGCAGAUAUUGGGAAGAACACCAGUGGCGAAGGCGGUUCUCUGGGACGGUACUGGCGCUGAGACGCGAAAGCGUGGGGAGCGAACAGG